rnacentral:rRNA from 1 species
AAUAUUGGACAAUGGGCGAAAGCCUGAUCCAGCAAUGCCACGUGAGUGAUGAAGGCCUUAGGGUUGUAAAGCUCUUUUACCCGGGAUGAUAAUGACAGUACCGGGAGAAUAAGCCCCGGCUAACUCCGUGCCAGCAGCCGCGGUAAUACGGGGGGAGCAAGCGUUGUUCGGAAUCACUGGGCGUAAAGGGAGUCUAGGCGGUUUGGUAAGUGGGAUGUGAAAUUCCCGGGCUCACCCCGGGACCUGCAUCCCAAACUGCUGAGCUUGAGUACAGGAGAGGGUGGGGGAAUUCCAGGUGUAGCGGUGAAAUGCGUAGAUAUCUGGAGGAACACCGGUGGCGAAGGCGCCCACCUGACCUGCUACUGACGCUGAAGCUCGAAAGCUAGGGGAGCAAAC